GACGAACGCUGGCGGCGUGCUUAACACAUGCAAGUCGAACGGAAAGGCCCUGCUUUUGUGGGGUGCUCGAGUGGCGAACGGGUGAGUAACACGUGAGUAACCUGCCCUUGACUUUGGGAUAACUUCAGGAAACUGGGGCUAAUACCGGAUAGGAGCUCCUGCUGCAUGGUGGGGGUUGGAAAGUUUCGGCGGUUGGGGAUGGACUCGCGGCUUAUCAGCUUGUUGGUGGGGUAGUGGCUUACCAAGGCUUCGACGGGUAGCCGGCCUGAGAGGGUGACCGGCCACAUUGGGACUGAGAUACGGCCCAGACUCCUACGGGAGGCAGCAGUGGGGAAUAUUGCACAAUGGGCGGAAGCCUGAUGCAGCAACGCCGCGUGCGGGAUGACGGCCUUCGGGUUGUAAACCGCUUUCGCCUGUGACGAAGCGUGAGUGACGGUAAUGGGUAAAGAAGCACCGGCUAACUACGU
rnacentral:rRNA from 1 species